GCACCAGCGGCAGCACUCCCCCCAGCUCGCUCGAGCCGCCGCCAUGGCCUCCCUGGCCGCCGCAUCCGCCUCCACCGCCCUCCUAUUCCCGCCCUCCACCUCAUCCUCCAAGCCCCGCCUCCCCCUCUCCACCUCCCUGGGGUUCUCCACGCCCGCGCGGUCCCGCCGCGCGGCGGCGGGGGCGGGGGCGGGGAGCUCCGGCCGGCGCCCGGGACUGCUGGUCGUGCGCGCCGCGAGGGCCA
rnacentral:lncRNA from 1 species